GUGGGGAAUAUUGCGCAAUGGAGGCAACUCUGACGCAGCCAUGCCGCGUGCAGGAAGAAGGCGCUACGCGUUGUAAACUGCUUUUAACCGGGAAGAAACCCCAGGACGUGUCCUGGGUUGACGGUACCGGAGGAAUAAGCACCGGCUAACUUCGUGCCAGCAGCCGCGGUAAUACGAAGGGUGCAAGCGUUAUCCGGAUUCAUUGGGUUUAAAGGGUGCGUAGGCGGAGCGUUAAGUCAGUGGUGAAAUCCUGCAGCUUAACUGUAGACUUGCCAUUGAUACUGGCGCUCUUGAGUGCGCUUGAAGUGGGCGGAAUGUGCCGUGUAGCGGUGAAAUGCUUAGAUAUGGCACAGAACACCAAUUGCGAAGGCAGCUCACUAAGGCGAUACUGACGCUGAGGCACGAAAGCGUGGGGAUCGAACAGGAUUAGAUACCCCUGUAGUCC
rnacentral:rRNA from 1 species